GAUGAACGCUGGCGGCGUGCCUAAUACAUGCAAGUCGAGCGAACAGACGAGGAGCUUGCUCCUCUGACGUUAGCGGCGGACGGGUGAGUCACACGUGGAUAACCUACCUAUAAGACUGGGAUAACUUCGGGAAACCGGAGCUAAUACCGGAUAAUAUAUUGAACCGCAUGGUUCAAUAGUGAAAGACGGUUUUGCUGUCACUUAUCGAUGGAUCCGCGCCGCAUUAGCUAGUUGGUAAGGUAACGGCUUGCCAAGGCAACGAUGCGUAGCCGACCUGAGAGGGUGAUCGGCCACACGGGAACUGAGACACGGUCCGGACUCCUACGGGAGGCAGCAGUAGGGAAUCUUCCGCAAUGGGCGAAAGCCUGACGGAGCAACGCCGCGUGAGUGAUGAAGGUCUUCGGAUCGUAAAACUCUGUUAUUAGGGAAGAACAAAUGUGUAAGUAACUAUGCACGUCUUGACGGUACCUAAUCAGAAAGCCACGGCUAACUACGUG
rnacentral:rRNA from 1 species